rnacentral:lncRNA from 1 species
CAGAUUUUCUCCAAGGACCACCUGGGGAAAAAAGAUUUCGUGAACUCUGCAAAAAAACAAAAAAUCUAAUUCAAAUUAACAAAUUUUACAAAAUUAUGAAAAAAUCAAUAAAUUAAAAACAGUAAUAAAAAAAAUGACAGACAGAAAGGGUGUCUCUUGCUGAAAGUUUCCCUUUAAUCACCAUAUUUACAGAAAAACUCUAAACAUUGCUACACAGUAUCAAUGAAAGGCCAGAACAAUGAUUUGUAGUUGCAUGCAACUACAAAUCAUAGGUGGAUAUAAUGGCCUUAUUUAUUUAAAAACAAAUAUGUAACACAUAAUAAAAAAAGACAAUCACUGAAUUACAGGCUCCUGACUUGUGACAGGCACACUCAGCAGGCACAUACUCAAUUCUAUUUAAAAACAUCUUUAAUUUCUUAUUCAUAUUCAUUCUACUUAUCUUUAGAUGUGUAUGCUUUCGUGUGAAAAUAAAACACUAAUCACUAUUGCCUUGCACUAGGACUAUUUUAAAAUUUUAGAAAAAAGGGGGGAUCUUCUGUAUGUAAAUUCA